rnacentral:rRNA from 1 species
AGAGUUUGAUCAUGGCUCAGGAUGAACGCUAGCGGCAGGCUUAACACAUGCAAGUCGAGGGGUAGAGUUCUUCGGAAUUUGAGACCGGCGCACGGGUGCGUAACGCGUAUGCAAUCUACCUUUUACAGAGGGAUAGCCCAGAGAAAUUUGGAUUAAUACCUCAUAGUAUAAUGACUCGGCAUCGAGAUAUUAUUAAAGUCACAACGGUAAAAGAUGAGCAUGCGUCCCAUUAGCUAGUUGGUAAGGUAACGGCUUACCAAGGCUACGAUGGGUAGGGGUCCUGAGAGGGAGAUCCCCCACACUGGUACUGAGACACGGACCAGACUCCUACGGGAGGCAGCAGUGAGGAAUAUUGGACAAUGGGCGCAAGCCUGAUCCAGCCAUGCCGCGUGCAGGAUGACGGUCCUAUGGAUUGUAAACUGCUUUUAUACGAGAAGAAACACUGCUUCGUGAAGCAGCUUGACGGUAUCGUAAGAAUAAGGAUCGGCUAACUCCGUGCCAGCAGCCGCGGUAAUACGGAGGAUCCAAGCGUUAUCCGGAAUCAUUGGGUUUAAAGGGUCCGUAGGCGGUUUAAUAAGUCAGUGGUGAAAGCCCAUCGCUCAACGGUGGAACGGCCAUUGAUACUGUUAAACUUGAAUUAUUAGGAAGUAACUAGAAUAUGUAGUGUAGCGGUGAAAUGCUUAGAGAUUACAUGGAAUACCAAUUGCGAAGGCAGGUUACUACUAAUGGAUUGACGCUGAUGGACGAAAGCGUGGGUAGCGAACAGGAUUAGAUACCCUAGUAGUCC